AGAGUUUGAUUAUGGCUCAGGAUGAACGCUGGCGGCGCGCCUAACACAUGCAAGUCGAACGGCACCCCUCUCCGGAGGGAAGCGAGUGGCGAACGGCUGAGUAACACGUGGAGAACCUGCCCCCUCCCCCGGGAUAGCCGCCCGAAAGGACGGGUAAUACCGGAUACCCCGGGGUGCCGCAUGGCACCCCGGCUAAAGCCCCGACGGGAGGGGAUGGCUCCGCGGCCCAUCAGGUAGACGGCGGGGUGACGGCCCACCGUGCCGACAACGGGUAGCCGGGUUGAGAGACCGACCGGCCAGAUUGGGACUGAGACACGGCCCAG
rnacentral:rRNA from 1 species